rnacentral:rRNA from 1 species
UACGUAGGCAGCGAGCGUUGUUCGGAGUUACUGGGCGUAAAGGGUGUGUAGGCGGUUGUUUAAGUUUGGUGUGAAAUCUCCCGGCUCAACUGGGAGGGUGCGCCGAAUACUGAAUGACUUGGAGUGCGGGAGAGGAAAGUGGAAUUCCGGGUGUAGUGGUGAAAUGCGUAGAGAUCCGGAGGAACCCCAGAGGCGAAGGCGGCGUCCUGGCUCGCAUCUGACGCUCAGACACGACAGCAUGGGGAGCGAACGGG